rnacentral:rRNA from 1 species
ACUCCUACGGGAGGCAGCAGUGGGGAAUAUUGCACAAUGGGCGCAAGCCUGAUGCAGCCAUGCCGCGUGUGUGAAGAAGGCCUUCGGGUUGUAAAGCACUUUCAGUUGUGAGGAAGGAUGGUGUCGUUAAUAGUACGGCAUCAUUUGAUCGUUUAGCAACAUGAAGAAGCAACCGGCAUAACUCCGGUAGCCAGCCAGCCGCGGGUAAUACGGAGGGUGCGAGCGUUAAUCGGAAUUACUGGGCGUAAAGCGCAUGCAGGUGGUUUGUUAAGUCAGAUGUGAAAGCCCGGGGCUCAACCUCGGAAUUGCAUUUGAAACUGGCAAACUAGAGUACUGUAGAGGGGGGUAGAAUUUCAGGUGUAGCGGUGAAAUGCGUAGAGAUCUGAAGGAAUACCGGUGGCGAAGGCGGCCCCUGGACAGAUACUGACACUCAGAUGCGAAAAGCGUGGGGAGCAAAACAGGAUUAGAUACCCUGGUAGCUACGAGU